GCAAUUGCAAGCCAGAAUCGUGGCAGAAUCAUCAGCAUAUGUUAACUUUCGUUUUCUGUCCCCAAAAUGCUCUGCCACAAUAGUCUUUUUCGCUACUGCUACUGCUACUGCUUCUAGAAGAUCUAGAUUCAUUGAUUUGCACAGGUUUGCUUAUUAUUACAAGAAAAAAGAUUUGGAGUAGAAGCAACACUAUUGUUACCCCAGAACAUACCGUUAUGGAACUGGCCACUUCACUUUGCUACACUUCUCCAAACAAUCUCACAGCCGAUUAUAAUAAUAAUCCUAGGUACCCAUCAAAAACCAAGUUUAACCCACCUUUUUAUCCAUGGGUUCCUACGCGAAGAUCUAAAACUUCGGGAUCUUCUUCUUUAUCAAGAAUGGUUUCAAAUGGGUAUGCUGGUAGAAGCAGCAGCAACUUUAGAUAUGGAGAUGGUAAUACUGUUAUUACUAAUACCAACUACAAGCAGCGACAGAAAUACACGCAGAUGGAGUCAUGUUUAGUCAUAGCUCCACCUAAAGGUAGAAAGCCACGUGCCAUCAUCAAAUUCCUUGGUGGUGCCUUCAUUGGAGCUGUCCCUGAAGUCACUUACAGUUGUUUGAUUGAGCUAUUGGCAAAGGAUGGUUAUGUUGUUAUUUUAGUGCCUUACAACGUGACAUUCGAUCAUUCUAAAGCUGCUAAUCAAGUCUAUGAGAGGUUCAAUGCUUGCUUGGAUUUAUUACUGCAAUCUGGAUUGCCCCAUGAUGGUUUAACUGCUUCGGAGCUUGUUGACCUUCCAAUUUUUUCUGUUGGUCACAGCAACGGGGCACUUCUCCAAGUUUUAACAGGAAGUUAUUUCUGUGAGAAGAUACCAAAGGCUAAUGCCAUAAUCUCAUUCAACAACAGGCCUGCUACAGAGGCGGUGCCAUAUUUUGAGCAGCUAGGUCCACUAGUUAAUCAGAUGAUGCCUGUUGUCGAAGCUUCUCCAAUGUAUGCGAUGGCCAGGAGUGCCUCAGGAGAUGCAUGGAAGGUUCUGCUUGAUACAGCUGGAGCAAUUAUACCUGAUAGCGAACAAGAAGCCCUAAUUUCAUUGACCAAAUUUGUUGAUCAGUUGCCAUCAGUAUUUGGUCAGGUCACAGAAGGGAUAUCAGAGUUCAAGCCAUCACCCUCUGAAAACCGUGAUUGUUGCAGGAACUCAUAUAAUGUUCAACACACAUUACUGGUGAAGUUCAGCUCUGAUGCUAUUGAUGAGACAGAUGUCCUUGAAGAGACCCUGAAACCUCGUGUUGAGUCCAUAGGUGGAACAAUAGAAAAGGUCCAAUUAAGUGGCACCCAUAUCACCCCAUGCAUACAGGAACCAAAAUGGCAAGCAGGUUUUGUGUACACUCCUGUAGAUGCCAUUGCUCAAGGCCUUAAAACUCUCUCAUUGAAUGAGACUAAAGUCCUCUCCAGAACCAUCUGUGACUGGCUCAGGUGUUUUGAAGAUUUGAGUGCUUGAUGUCCAGCAUAAGGUUUUUUGAACGGUGCAUCCUUUCAUUAGAAAAAAGGAAUGUCAUAAGAUCCUGGUUCAUAAAUAUGGUUUGUGAACUUUUCGAAGAAAUACAAAAUCUGCUUCAGAAUUGCAAUAGCCCUAUGUCUACCCUGGAAGUUUCAAUUGAACUAAAACUCGAAUGUAGAGAGAUGUUUCUAGAGUGCAUGUGCCCUUAUUUUUAUUUUUAUUUUUAAUGAACUCUUGAUGUUGGAAAGAGCAAUUACUGUACUAUUGUGCUGCAACCAAUGAAUAUACACAACUGCUACCGAUUGUUGAGCAA